CCCGCCCCCUGGGCCCCGGCGCACCUCCCCAGGUAGGAGCAGCUGUGGCGGCGCGGCGGGAACCACACGAUCGGAGCGCCGAAGGCGCUUGGAGAUCUCCCCGGCCGGUUCUCUCUGCGCACCGACGGGGAGAAAGAGGCCGAGAGAGGCAGGGACUGUCGGCGCGCAAACUCGGCGCUUCCGGACUUUACCAGCCUGUAUAGAAGGCUGGGACCCACAGGUGAAAGGAAGGGCUCGCUUCACUUUUUUGGCUGGAGAGGGGAGACCUUGGGCCAGUCCCUUCCCACCCGCAAGCCCACAGUUUUCUUUUCUGAGAAUUGAAGGAGGAAAAGCACGUGCAGAUCUUGGAAGGAUAAGGAGGAAGGCUUUUAUCCUUAGGAUUUCGAGACUCGGUGCCGACAGCCAGAGGCUCCGGCCGAGAUGCAGCUUUCCGGCUGCGGAUGCAGGGUUGGGGGAACGAGCCGCGAGAGCACGGGCGGCCAGCUUUCAAGGGUUUUAGUCGCGUUCUUCGUGGCAACGAGCUCCGGGCAGACCCAGCCCCACCAAGCACUGGGCAACUGCCUUCGGAAGCAGGAGGCAGAGAGUCCAAGUCCUCGCUCCGCGGAUCCGGGUAUGGAAGCCAAUCGAACAAUUUACAUGAGGACCUUCCUCCGCGGAUGCACACUCGAACGACUGGAGAGGCUUUUCACUUGCUCAAAACACUCCCAGCUUCCUUCUUCCAAAGUAACCACGCUUCGAAAAUCCAGGUUUCAUCCUAUUUUUUUUUUCAAAGGGGGAAAAGGUUUAAAGUUGUUAAAUUUUAACCAGAUUACAUCCUAGCAGUCUUUUAAUACUGAAUUUUAUGGUUCCAAGAUUCAGAUUUCCAAAUGUUAAAAUUUGGACUACUAUCCUAGCAUGAAUCCCUAAAUCAAAUAAUGUGUUUCUGUAAUUCUAAGAUUCUAUGACCAGUGUCUAAAUUCUUUGACUGUGAUUAUAUCUCUAUGACUUUAAACUUCUGUUCAGAGUGUAAAAGCAUAUUCCUUAUAUCUUAAGAUGCUGGGAGUAAGAUUUUGUGCCUGAAAAUAUGAUGCCACUGUUGGCAGUUGUAACUUCUCUGUUUUAGACAUUUUUGCAGCUCUAAGGUACAUAUUGCUUAAUUUUAAUUCCUGUCUAGGAAUGUCUGAUUGGAAGAUUUGGGUCGUAUAAAUCCACAUCUCUCUUAUUUCAUUCUAAGAUAUUAGUACUAGAUCCACUAUUCUAUAACUCAAAUAAUCUAACAAUUCUUAUAAUAUUUGUGACCAUAUGCUUUAAUGACUUUUUAAGCUCCAGUUACUAUGGUUAGAAGCCUCCAUGUCUCAGGAUGUUUUGAUCCUCAUUGUUUUGUGACUGUGGACACACUCUUCUAGAAAUCCGAUUCGUUUUUCUCAAACUUUUCAGCUACUGAGCUCUGCCUAUGCAUCAGACCAAGCGUUAGCAUCCUGAGAUUAGAAUUAUUAAGACUGUGAUUCUAGAAUUUCAUAAACAAAGAAUCCUUAAAAUGCUGUUCCAUAAAUGUUUUAUUCUAAUAACACAUUUCAAAAUUCUGUACUUUGAAGAUGUAAAAUUAGAAUUAAAGGAUUUGAGUGAACUGGGACAGUUAACCCGUUUGGAUCAAAACUAUACAGAAAGAUCCGCUCAGUGCCAGGCCACUUCCUCAGUUUCUUCUCAUCCAGUCUUCACCUCUUCUCUGGGGCAGUGCUCCUUAAUAUGUAUAGGAUUAACAGACCCAUUGAGAACCAUUUGAGAGCUACAGAGUUAGCUCUUGUCCCUUGGAAAUCAUUCUUUUAGUCCAGCUGGGGUGAGUUGAUGUUGAUAUGAACAGAUGCCGGGUGCUUUCCAUCCUCUUCUGACUACCUACAGCCCUGAGUGUAUCCUCAGCACCUUUUGGAAAAACCUUCCCCCUCACAGGCUAUUUUACGUUAAAUUCUGGGGGGAGAGGAGGAGUGCUGCUGAUCUGUAGAAGAUGCUAGAGCUCUUCCCCUGACUACCGAGUUUUGAAGUGCCCUUGGAGAGUUUCGUAAAUAUAAAGGAGGGGAUUCUAGGAGUUACGGGAAAUUCCUCCACAUCUUUGGACCCAGAUGCAGAGGUACCCUGCUCUUAAGGAAAUCUUGGAAAUUCAAGCUGGAAGGAAACCAGGCCCAGAUUGUCAAAGGGGCUUGCUUAAAGUUGUGUAGAGGAGGUUCUACACUGAAAGGGAAACGCAGGUAUUUGGGGCCUUACCUCCUGGGCCUGCAGCCUCUCUGUCUUUUCCUGAGUUCUCUGUCCUCACUUGUGCUUGAAGUCCUGGCCCUCACCAGUCUCCUUACAGGGGGACAAUGGAAGCCCUAGGCCCAGAUGCUUGCCAAUCAGAUCUAAGAAUCUCGGGGCAGCUAGAACACAGGGACUUCUGGAUUACUCUGGGACAGUCAGUCAGGGUCAGUGGGUUGUAGGUAUGGCCUCAGAGUGCCACAAAGGCAGUCAGUCCUGUGUCACGCUCAGCCUAGCCGCUGGUUGCAGAAGUGGCACCGAGUGAGAGCUGUCACUCAGCCCAGCAGCUUUGAACUAUUUGUUGUCCUUCUUAGGCCUCAGUUUCUCCAUCUGGGAAGUGCCGGACUUCCUGUCAUUUCAUUUCCACGGAGUCAAGAGGAUGAAGUGGGGCAUAUCGCCAACCCGUGAUCAUCUUGUCUUUUAAAUUGUUUUCAAGACAAAAAUGGUUGUUUAAAAAAAGGCUGCUGGGGAAAAUUAAAGUCGUUCCCACUCAUACGCGGGAAUGAGAUGCUGUCCUCAAAGAAGUAGUUUAAAGUAAAUUAAAUUGUUUUCUGCCCGCCUAGAAGGCAGUAUGUGUGUAGGGAGAGUGUUGGAAGUUUAAGAGUUCGCAAGAGUGUGACCUUAUUUUGCUCCACGGAGGCGCAGGGACCCCCGGAGCUUAGUCAGGACAACACGGUUUCUAACGCUUUCUCCUGCUGGUUCACUUAAAUACCGUGGACAGAGAAUUACCAUCAUCGGGGCAGAGAAACUGGGGCCCAGAGAGGCGAGCUUUCUGCUUCCCUGCCGCCAGCCUCCCAGCUCACCCAGCUCACCUCGAGGAAGCUCCUAAUCCCUGACUCAAAGCCCUCUCCCAGCGCUGCCCCCUGGUCUCGGAAUGGGGAGUUCAGGAGCCGGCCGGGACAGCCCAGGAGCUCCGCGGCGGCUGCAGCGAAAAGGGCAAACCUUCCGGGGGACGCGGACCUGUCCCGCUGCGUACAGCGACUUGGGGUCUGAGUGGAGCCUGAGCAACCCCCGCCCCUAGGUUAGCUCCUCCGCCCUUUCCCAGCCGCUGUGAGCAUUCCUGAGCCGAGGACAGAGGAGCUCAAGGUAGAUUUUGCUCAGAACCAGCGGGAGGGAGCUGGGCUGUGGCUGGGCCCUCUCCUAGGAAAGCUGUGCCCGCCCCCCCGCCCCCCCCACCCCUCCACGGCCGGAGGAGGAGGUGAGUUCUCAGUAGGCUCACGUCCUACUUUGGGUUCGAGGGUCUGUGGGGCAGGAGUGGCUCUCCAGAAUCAUCUGGCAUCCUGAUGUCUUGGGUAAUCUGAGCUCUACAUGUGGCCUUGGGACUCGAAGAAGCGGGGAAGAUUGUGAAUGUUCAUUUCAGUGGACAGAGUUCCCGGUUUGCGGUAUGAUCUCAAAGGGCCGAUGAUUAUCCUCUCCCUCUCAAAGCGGAAAUGCACCAGACUGGGUUCAAGUAUUGUCUGAGAUACAGGAAGAAACAGUGAUUUGACCUCCCUCUCUAGGCCAGGCUCAGCCCCAGGCCUUUGAUUCUACUCCUUGAGGCCUCCUGCCCCGCUGUGACCAUCAGGGCACUUCACCUUGAAGCUAUCUCGGCUCCCAGGGUCGGGGCGGGAUGCAGACCCAGAAGGUUAGAGCGUGGUGCAGUGCUCAGGCAAAGACCCAGCCCAGCUGCUGGUUGCAAUGCCGCGGGGGCAAUAGUGAGGGAGCCCAAAGACACUUGUCUGUGGAUGCAUGCGUGCAUGGGUGGCCAAACUCGCCUCUGGCCUCUUUCCUUCGGGCUUUUUUGGCACUGUUUCUCUGUCUAGCCUGAGGGUGUAUAUCUUUCUUAGUCUUCUUUCCUUCGCUCAGUCGUGUCCGACUCUUUGCGACCCCAUGGAUAGUAGCCUACCAGGCUCCGCCGUCCAUGGGAUUUUCCAGGCAAGAAUACUGGAGUGGGCUGCCAUUUCCUUCUCCAGGGAUCUUCCCAACCCAGGGAUCGAACCCGGGUCUCCUGCAUUGCAGACAGACGCUUUGCCGUCUGAGCCAGCUUCCGCCUUUCUUGCCUGUCUGUAUGAACCGGCCUUCACAUCCUCCCUUCCUGGAUACCUUUCCCCAGAAUCGCUUGGAAGAGAGCCUGCACACUUCAGCCAGGGUUGGGCUGCCCAUACCAGCCCCUUCCCUCCCAGAGGAUGGUGUAGACAGUAUCAGGGCUGGGACAGACACAGGUUCUGUCCUGAUCCUCAGCUUUUCUGCCCAGGCACCUUGGAAGCUCUCAGCUCCCUGAGCUCUGCUGAGCCUGGCUGGGGAAGAGGGGAACACAAAGUAUUCAGACUUUGGAAAUGUCGAGUUCCACAUGCCAGCCUUUUGGAAAAACCUAGGAGUCCAAAUAGUCCUCAUCAGCACAGUUCUUCUGCUGAUUGUCUCUGCACAAACUGGGCUACUUGGCUGCUCAAAGACCCUCAAUGACUCCCCUCCUCCAGGGCAAGAUCAAGUACACCUUCCCUGGCCUGGCAGGUCAGAGCCCUCCAGCACAAUGCAGCCCCUUCCCACCCCUGCUGUCUCCCUUGGUCUUCUCUGUCCUCAGCUUCAGAGGACUCCCUGCCAAAUCUUCUUCCAUUCUCUCACAUAAGUUCUUGCCCUCAGCCUGGACCGGCCCCCCUCCACUCCCCCAUCAGCCCAAAUGGGCUGGGAGUCAUUGAGGGCCUAUUGAGCAGCCAAGUAGCCCAGUUUGUGCAGAGACAAUCAGCAGAAGAACUGUGCUGAUGAACUGUGCUGGGAAGUCCUCCCUGAUCUGCCCAAGUCGAACACUCCCUCUUUCAGCCUGCCCCAGCAUGACUGGAUUUUGGCACUUGUCACACAUUUUUAUGGUGUAGUAAUUUGAUUAUGUGACUGUUGUUGUUCUUCUCUGGGAGUUUCUUGAUGGCAGGAAGUGUAGUUUCCUGCAACUGGGCACCUGGGUCAUCGGCACAGAGCCUGGCCCAAGAAAAAAAAUGUGGCCCUGCUGUGAGAGCCAGUUACUCAGAGUCACCCAGGCCUAGGUCAGUUCCUAUGUUUACCUCUUCUCAGCUGUGUGACUUUUGGCCACUUAUUCACUCAGAACCUCAGCUUUUUGAUCUACAAAAUGGAGAUAUACUAAUGUCAUAAGAGAGCUGUGAAGGUAGGUUUUAUUAACUGCAAAUACUUGCAAAACUCUUCUGUUUACAAAUACGGUUUUAAGCAAUUUUGUGCAUGAAGUACACUAACAUGCCAGGAGACCUGGCAGCAAGUCUCACGCCUAUGACUAACUGGGCACUGGGGGGACAUCCAGGAGAACAGGCAGAGCGCUGGCUUUAGAAGGUAUAAUGACUUGAUAUGUCAUCUAGGCAGGAGGACAGCUGCAAAAAAGCCCAAAAGCAGGGGUCUCACAGGUAGUAGACGGGGCCUAAGGGAAGGUUCAGAUGCUGAACAGCAUCUUCUGCCCUAGAUUCAGGUAUGGAGGCCCCUGGGAUGAGUCUGGGGCUAUCUGAGAGGCACAGUUGGUCCAGCUUGAUCCUGCUGGACUGAGGUCUGAGAGUGUCAUGGGGCAGCCUCUCCCUCUGGUGUCCUGGUAACUUAGGGCCUUGGAUCUGUUAUGCAUCUCUGGUUUCUGUCUAGGCGGAUCUGGCCCAACUUUUUGGCACAAGGGUUGAGGAGAGCUUCAGCAUGGAACUGGGUAUAUUCAGAGGCAUAUUCUUCAGUCCUGAAGACAUGCCACCCAGUAGGGUAGGAGUCCGGGGGCCAUGGGCUUACCCUCCUGAUAUGGAUUUGGACAUUCACCAAGAGUAGGGAAGAGGUGAGAGACUGCUCCUGGGGUCCCUUUAGGGGUUCUCAUCCUUAGUGAGUGUUAUAUGUGGCUCCUUGUCUUCCUUGAGUCCCGGCCAGGCCAAACUGACCCUAGGUGCUGGGACCAAAUGGACUGCUGGAAUUUAGCAUUGGGUCAGUGCAAUAAUAUAAUAGCUUCUAUCUACAGGCUUCUAUCAUUUUUUUCCCCCACUAAGUUCUAACUUUCUCAUAUAUAGCCUAUAUGUAGUUUGUGGAGCUGAUUGUGGUGGCAUUUGCUGGCCUGGGAUCAUUGAUGCUUAUUUUACUCAAUGAGUGAUUCAUACAGUCCAAACUCAGGUAAGCAUCUCUGCCUCCUUCUCAGGUUCACUUUGCUUCCCAUCUCCUAGUCCUCUCCCUUGGGAACUGGCUUUUAGUCAAAUAUGGAAUUGAAAUAACAUAAGCAGACCAACAGCAAUGGAGGAAAAGAGUGUGCUCGUCACACCACACCAUAGCUCUGUUCAGCAUUUUAUCAAUGAUACAGAAGAAGCCAUAGAAGGGAAGCUGAUUGGGCUUGUGGGCUGACCACACUGAGGUGCUGAUGCUGGUAGCUGACAGAUGCAAGACUCAGAAUAAUCACCAGGUUGGGAGACUGAGCCAAAACCAACAAGAAGACAUUUAAAAAACUGUUAUGAAAACAUCAUAACAUUACAGAAGAUAAAGCUGGAAGGAAAAAGUCACCCACAUACCAAUUACCUAUCAUUCAUCUACUGAGGUUGUUUUCUAUGUUCUGUUUUUUUUUUUUCUCCUUUGUGUUCUUAUGCAUCUAUAUAUUUUUGCAUAGGUGUAACAAUAGAGUGUGUAUAAUUCUAUAGUCUAUACACAAUUCAUUUACAAUAUUUUGUAAACAUAACUGCAUGUUGCGCUUUACUUCCCAUCUUUCAUCUUUAGUUGGGAGUGACAUGGUCUUGUGCUGAUUUAACCCUUUUAUGGUAGAUAGGCAAUUAGGUAGUCGCCAAUAUCUCUGAUAUAGGCGAUGUGGCUAUGUGUUUGUAUAAACAACUUGGUGUUUACUUUGAACUGUCCUUAAGAUAAAUUCCUAAGAGUGAGAUUUAUGGAAUAAAGAAUAUUUUUGUGUUUUUUAAUAUAGUUCUACCAUGUUGUCUCCAGGACAUCUUGCAACUCACCACAAUCAAGAUAAUUAACAUGUGCAUCACCCCUAAACGUUUCCUUGUGCCCCAUGUGAUUGAUUCAUCCACCCCCCACCAUUAUCUGUAGGCAAUCACUGAUCUAUUUAUGUCACUACAGACUAGUUUGCAUUUUAUAGAACAUUAUAUAAAUGCAAUAACAGUGUAUUUUUUGUCUGUUUUCACUGAGCGUAAUUAUUUUGAUAUUCAUCUAUGUUAUUAUAAUAAUCAAAUCCUUUUUUUUGCUAGAUAAUAUUCCAUUACAUGGACAUACCACAGUUUGUUUAUCCAUUCACUUGUUGCUAGACAUUUGGGUUGUUUCCAAUUUUGGCUCUUUUAAACAAGCUGCUAUGAAUAGUUUUGUAUAAGUCUUUGUGUGGCUAAAUACCUUCAAUAAAUACGUAGGAGAAGAAUAUCUGGG
ensembl:lncRNA